CACUGACAUUAGAUACCCGGGUAGUCCUAGCCGUAAACGAUACUCGCUAGGUGUCGGCCACGGUGCGACCGUUGUCGGUGCCGUAGGGAAGCCGUGAAGCGAGCCACCUGGGAAGUACGGCCGCAAGGCUGAAACUUAAAGGAAUUGGCGGGGGAGCACAACAACGGGUGGAGCUUGCGGUUUAAUUGGAUUCAACGCCGGAAAUCUUACCGGGACCGACAGCAACAUGAAGGCCAAGCUGAAGACUUUGCCGGAUUAGCUG
rnacentral:rRNA from 1 species